AUGUGCCCUACAACAAACUUUAAAAAGAAGAAGAAGAAGAGGCCGAUGUUAUAUAAGAUUUAUCAGAGAAUACCGUUCAUUUACUCAAUCCCCAAAUUCAUCCUGGUAGUCUAAGGGGGCCUAAGUAAGUAUGCAUGGAGAAGCCAAUGUAAACCACAGCCAUUUCUAGCAAAAUCUAAGUACAUGCCCCGGUAGUAGGUGGCAGCGUUGUCUUCACACGUGUAUGAAGAAGCAGCAGAGCAGUAUUCAAGCAGUAAGUAUUUAUUGAAUGCCAAUAAUACUACUAGGGGAGCUGAAGUACACUUUGAAUUAGACAAUGCCACUAAACUUGAAUUUACAAUCAAGCUUACAUACAAGACUAACAGAUGACAAAAAAAUACAUACAAAUAUGUAUAAAAGUACAUUAAGAAAAUAGGUUCCUAACGUAAACAGAAUACCUAAAACAAAGAUUAAAAGUUAUUCAUGCCUUUCUAAAAGAGGAAUACUGACCUAGAAUUUAAAGAAACAGAAGAAUGUAGCUGGUAAAGAGAACACAGGCAUUUCAUUCACUCAGAAGAAGAUAAAUAAAAGCUUAAAAGAGAAAUUCAACUCCCAAAAAAGAGAAGGGGUAAGAAGUUUAGCAGUUGUGAUAAAAAGAUACAGAGACAGGUUUAAGAAAACAAAACUGGUAGGGCAAAAAUGUCCAUUACCUUCCUCAUCAUAAUUAGACAUGUCAUCUGCAAUCAUUGUACUGAAGUCUAAAAGAAGAUUCCAAGUAUCUUUCGGUAUUGAUCGUUUAUGAUGUUCC